CCCCGCCCUCCCCACUGCCUGCUCGCGCUCACCUGGUUGUUUUUGCAGAGAUCAGCCCACAUGCUGGUGCCGUCCCCUCCGCGCAUCAGGACGUGCCACCGCAGUUCUAACAGAAUCGCAACCCCAAAGCCCCUAGUGGGCUGAGGGAGCUCAGGUCGGGCGCCCCCGAGAUGUGCGGAGCGGUGCCGGUGUGCUCGAUCAGCGGCUCAGAGAGGCUCAGGGUUGGAGAUUGGAGCUAGCCAACAGCAGCGAGAGCCGAGCGAGAGAGGCUGAACGCAGAAUUCUGCCUGGGUACCACCUGCCAGGAGAAGAGGAGGCUGACAAACGCGCGCCGGAGCAAUUUAUAGGAACCCAAGGCACAGAGGAAGGGGAGCCGCUUUGGCAUCUCUCUGCAGCAUCUGCUCUGCUCAUCCCACUCACACAGAGUUUGGCAUUACUCUGACAAUGUGGGAUUUUUUUUUUCGGCCUCUCUUUUUUUUUUUCCCUCUCUGCAAGGGAUGAACAGUGAAAUCCUGAAUACUCCCUCAUCUAACCCAGGCGAUGGCAGCGCCCUAACAGGACAUACUAAGGGAGUGAGACAGCUGUGCGACAGCUCUCAGGACUCAAGGGUCACACCUAAAUCUAUUUCCCAAGAGCCAGCAGCCCUUGUUGGCGAUGGAAGUGAAGGUUGAAAGGCGGGAGGUUUGGUGACAAUAUUUCUCUCCUGGCUCAUCCACAAUCAGUGCUUCAGGUGUUUUUCAAAUGCCACUUUUAACAUAAGGAGGGCCCUUUCCAAUUUUUCCAGACAGUAGAUGUGCGGUUUUUUUAACCUUAGCAUUUGCUUCCACAGCCUCCUAAAUGAAAUAAGAUGUUACCCCGAGAACAGUAAAGUGUAUUUAAAAAUCGA